AUGAACGCUGGCGGCGUGCCUAAUACAUGCAAGUCGAGCGAACAGACGAGGAGCUUGCUCCUCUGACGUUAGCGGCGGACGGGUGAGUAACACGUGGAUAACCUACCUAUAAGACUGGGAUAACUUCGGGAAACCGGAGCUAAUACCGGAUAAUAUAUUGAACCGCAUGGUUCAAUAGUGAAAGACGGUUUUGCUGUCACUUAUAGAUGGAUCCGCGCCGCAUUAGCUAGUUGGUAAGGUAACGGCUUACCAAGGCAACGAUGCGUAGCCGACCUGAGAGGGUGAUCGGCCACAUUGGAACUGAGACACGGUCCAGACUCCUACGGGAGGCAGCAGUAGGGAAUCUUCCGCAAUGGGCGAAAGCCUGACGGAGCAACGCCGCGUGAGUGAUGAAGGUCUUCGGAUCGUAAAACUCUGUUAUUAGGGAAGAACAAAUGUGUAAGUAACUAUGCACGUCUUGACGGUACCUAAUCAGAAAGCCACGGCUAACUACGUG
rnacentral:rRNA from 1 species